CGGUGGAGUAUGUGGUUUAAUUCGAUGCAACGCGAAGAACCUUACCAAGACUUGACAUGUCUAGAAUCUCGAUGAAAGUUGAGAGUGCCUUAGGGAACUAGAACACAGGUGGUCCAUGGCUUGUCGUCAGCUCGUGUCGUGAGAUGUUGGGUUUAAGUCCCGCAACGAGCGCAACCCUCGUCUUUAGUUGCCAUCAUUAAGUUGGGAACUCUAGAGAGACUGCCGGUGACAAACCGGAGGAAGGUGGGGAUGACGGUCAAGUCAGCAUGCCCCUUACGUCUUGGGCUACACACGUACUACAAUGGUCGGGACAACGGGCAGCUAAUCCGCGAGGACAAGCGAAUCCCAACAAACCCGGCCUCAGUUCAGAUUGCAGGCUGAAACUCGCCUGCAUGAAGGAGGAAUCGCUAGUAAUCGCAGGUCAGCAUACUGCGGUGAAUUCGUUCCCGGGCCUUGUACACACCGCCCGUCACACCAUGGGAG
rnacentral:rRNA from 1 species